AGCCACAAUGUGACUAAUUUUUGAUGAAUAAUCCUAAUUUUAGUCACAAGAUUUUGAAGUUUAGUCACAAAACAAA
rnacentral:tRNA from 1 species